CUGCGGAGCGCCAGUGAAGUUGGCUGGGAUUCGGACCGUGUGCGCAAGGGCCUCUUGUGUAUGCACAGACUGAUGUGGUGACCUUGCUCUCCUGGGCUGGGCUGAAGCCGCGUCAGGCACGGACAGACAUUUAUGUUUCAGAUGACACCUGGGACGCUCCUGAAGAGCUUGUGAACUGACACCAACUGGUGACCUAAAAGUAAAGGUUUUCAGGAAUUGAAGCAGAUGACAGCCAAAGAGACAGCUUUGCCAACACCCUUGACCAGAUCUCUGCAGAACGGAGGCACCAAAUAGGUGAUGCUGGCUCGGUGCUUUGAGAUGAUCUCCAGUGCUUACAACCUUGAUAAAGAAUGGUAGUCAGGUGGAAGAUGCCUGAGAAUCUCCCUCCUCCCCUUCCUUGUUAUUCAAAUGUGGCCCCACAGUUUCCAGUCUGCACACAAUCCCUUCAAUGUAAAACAUGACAACUGGGAGAGGACCUUCCUGGCACUGAGGCACAAAGCGACUGAAUGUGAAAAAACUCUUGAUCAGCAAGCUUUCAAGAAAAGCCCUCGGUCAAAGGGGGAAAUGGAAAACGAUGAAAGGAAACCUCAUAAAAAAUGGAGUCAGGAAGCCCUGAAGGAGGCGCUCGCAUGCUCUUACCCUCCUCACACCCUGCAUACCCAGUAGGGAGAAGGGAGAAAUUCUUAACCUUCACAAGGGAGGACACAAUUCAUAUAGGAAUCUAUCUCCUCCUUUUCUGAAAAAAGGAAGAUCUCUCCCUGCCCCAGCAGCAACGCGCUAACCAUCCGUUGGAACCAAUGAGAAAACUCUACAACCUCAAACUCUUCUUCUCCAAAAAAUUAUGUACAA